rnacentral:rRNA from 1 species
GAUGAACGCUGGCGGCGUGCCUAAUACAUGCAAGUAGAACGCUGAAGGAGGAGCUUGCUCUUCUGGAUGAGUUGCGAACGGGUGAGUAACGCGUAGGUAACCUGCCUGGUAGCGGGGGAUAACUAUUGGAAACGAUAGCUAAUACCGCAUGACAACAGUUAUUGCAUGAUAACUGUUUAAAAGGGGCAACUGCUCCACUACCAGAUGGACCUGCGUUGUAUUAGCUAGUUGGUGAGGUAACGGCUCACCAAGGCGACGAUACAUAGCCGACCUGAGAGGGGGAUCGGCCACACUGGGACUGAGACACGGCCCAGACUCCUACGGGAGGCAGCAGUAGGGAAUCUUCGGCAAUGGACGGAAGUCUGACCGAGCAACGCCGCGUGAGUGAAGAAGGGUUUCGGAUCGUAAAGCUCUGUUGUAAGAGAAGAACGGGUGUGAGAGUGGAAAGUUCACACUGUGACGGUAGCUUACCAGAAAGGGACGGCUAACUACGUG